rnacentral:rRNA from 1 species
GUGAGUGCUUUGGGGUGGGGUGACUGCGUACCUUUUGUAUAAUGGGUCAGCGACUUAUAUUCUGUAGCAAGGUUAACCGAAUAGGGGAGCCGGAGGGAAACCGAGUCUUAAUUGGGCGUUAAGUUGCAGGGUAUAGACCCGAAACCCGGUGAUCUAGCCAUGGGCAGGUUGAAGGUUGGGUAACACUAACUGGAGGACCGAACCGACUAAUGUUGAAAAAUUAGCGGAUGACCUGUGGCUGGGGGUGAAAGGCCAAUCAAACCGGGAGAUAGCUGGUUCUCCCCGAAAGCUAUUUAGGUAGCGCCUCGUGAAUUCAUCUCCGGGGGUAGAGCACUGUUUCGGCUAGGGGGCCAUCCCGGCUUACCAACCCGAUGCAAACUGCGAAUACCGGAGAAUGUUAUCACGGGAGACACACGGCGGGUGCUAACGUCCGUCGUGAAGAGGGAAACAACCCAGACCGCCAGCUAAGGUCCCAAAGUCAUGGUUAAGUGGGAAACGAUGUGGGAAGGCCCAGACAGCCAGGAUGUUGGCUUAGAAGCAGCCAUCAUUUAAAGAAAGCGUAAUAGCUCACUGGUCGAGUCGGCCUGCGCGGAAGAUGUAACGGGGCUAAACCAUGCACCGAAGCUGCGGCAGCGACACUGUGUGUUGUUGGGUAGGGGAGCGUUCUGUAAGCCUGCGAAGGUGUCCCGUGAGGGAUGC